rnacentral:rRNA from 1 species
CAGUAGCCGCGGGAAUACGAAGGGGGCUAGCGUUGCUCGGAAUGACUGGGCGUAAAGGGCGCGUAGGCGGCGAUCAAAGUCAGGCGUGAAAUUCCUGGGCUCAACCUGGGGGCUGCGCUUGAUACUUGGUUGCUUGAGUGGGGAAGAGGGUCGUGGAAUUCCCAGUGCAGAGGUGAAAUUCGUAGAUAUUGGGAAGAACACCGGUGCGAAGGCGGCGACCUGGUCCUUGACUGACGCUGAGGCGCGAAAGCGUGGGGAGCAAACAGGAUUAGAUACCCGAGUAGUCCCUGUCUCUUAUACA